rnacentral:lncRNA from 1 species
AGUCAGCGAAUACACGCAGCGGUCUGCUUUUUUGCGAGGCAGUGAACAGAUGCAGUGUUUAGUUUGCGAGGCAGCCGAAGAGACGCGACGCUUUGCUUUUGGCGAUGCAGUGAAGAGACACAGCGGUUUGCUUGUUUGCGAGGCAGCGAAGAGACACAGCAGUUUGCUUGUUUGUGAGGCAGUGAACAGAUGCAGCGGUUAGUUUGGUUCCAAGGCAGGGAACAGACACCGCGUUUUA